rnacentral:rRNA from 1 species
GUAUACCUACGGGGGGCAGCAGUGGGGAAUAUUGCGCAAUGGGCGAAAGCCUGACGCAGCGACGCCGCGUGAGGGAUGAAGGUCUUCGGAUCGUAAACCUCUGUCAGCAGGGAAGAACGGUCACUGUGCUAAUCAGCAGUGAAUUGACGGUACCUGACUAAGAAGCCCCGGCUAACUACGUGCCAGCAGCCGCGGUAAUACGUAGGGGGCAAGCGUUAUCCGGAUUUACUGGGUGUAAAGGGAGCGUAGACGGCGAUGCAAGUCUGAAGUGAAAGGCGGGGGCCCAACCCCCGGACUGCUUUGGG